GCUGACGAGUGGCGGACGGGUGAGUAAUGUCUGGGAAACUGCCUGAUGGAGGGGGAUAACUACUGGAAACGGUAGCUAAUACCGCAUAACGUCGCAAGACCAAAGAGGGGGACCUUCGGGCCUCUUGCCAUCGGAUGUGCCCAGAUGGGAUUAGCUAGUAGGUGGGGUAACGGCUCACCUAGGCGACGAUCCCUAGCUGGUCUGAGAGGAUGACCAGCCACACUGGAACUGAGACACGGUCCAGACUCCUACGGGAGGCAGCAGUGGGGAAUAUUGCACAAUGGGCGCAAGCCUGAUGCAGCCAUGCCGCGUGUAUGAAGAAGGCCUUCGGGUUGUAAAGUACUUUCAGCGGGGAGGAAGGGAGUAAAGUUAAUACCUUUGCUCAUUGACGUUACCCGCAGAAGAAGCACCGGCUAACUCCGUGCCAGCAGCCGCGGUAAUACGGAGGGUGCAAGCGUUAAUCGGAAUUACUGGGCGUAAAGCGCACGCAGGCGGUUUGUUAAGUCAGAUGUGAAAUCCCCGGGCUCAACCUGGGAACUGCAUCUGAUACUGGCAAGCUUGAGUC
rnacentral:rRNA from 1 species